rnacentral:rRNA from 1 species
UGUCUUUUAAUUGGAGACGUGUAUGAAUGGAGAAAUGGGGGGAAGCUGUCUCUAAAAAAUUAAUUAAAAGUUAUUUUCUAGGUGAAAAAACCUAGGAUGAAUCAAGGACGAGAAGACCCUGGGACCUUUUAUAUUUUUAGUUGGGGCAACUAAGGUUCACACCUUUAGGAGUAAAUUUUUAAGUUAGAAUAAGGUACCCCAGGGAUAACAGUAUAAUAAAAUAAUUUUGUUUGUCACCUCGAUGUUGGACUAAGAAUUCCUCAGACUAGAAGUCUGAGGAACGGCUCUGUUCGAGCCAUUUCUCUUACGUGAUCU